CAGCCGCCGCGGUAAUACGUAGGUGGCAAGCGUUGUCCGGAAUUAUUGGGCGUAAAGGGCUCGCAGGCGGUUUCUUAAGUCUGAUGUGAAAGCCCCCGGCUCAACCGGGGAGGGUCAUUGGAAACUGGGAAACUUGAGUGCAGAAGAGGAGAGUGGAAUUCCACGUGUAGCGGUGAAAUGCGUAGAGAUGUGGAGGAACACCAGUGGCGAAGGCGACUCUCUGGUCUGUAACUGACGCUGAGGAGCGAAAGCGUGGGGAGCGAACAGGAUUAGAUACCCCUGUAGUCCCUAUCUCUUAUAC
rnacentral:rRNA from 1 species